UAAUUGAGACACACCCCCUUAUAUAGUUUACUGAUUUAUGACACACACACACAUAUGUGUACAAAUAGGGGGAAAAAAAUAGAUUUUUCAAAAAAGAUUGGAUUUUUUUUUUUUUGUAUAACACAACAAUUUUUGUGGAAAUAUGUCUAAGAGGAUGACCAUUAAUGGUGGACUAUAAUUGAGACAACCCCUUAGUGUUUACUGAUUUUUGUGACACACACACAUGUAUGUGUACAAAUAAAAUAAAAAAUGGAUUUUUUCAAAAAAAAAAA